UAGUUGAAUGUUUAUUGUCUAACCCCCUUUCUCUCUGAUUCCCAGGAUCAGGUUAAAUCAUCUAUACAAUCUCUGACAACAAAUAAAUCAGCCAUCCAGGAAAUUGAAGAGCAACAGAAGCAGAAGAUUUCCCAAGUCCGGGAGCAGUCACAAAUCCUCGAGUCUCACGUCACAUCUCAGUUUGCUGAACUGCAUCAGAUUCUCGUGAAGAAAGAGCAGCGCAUUCUCGGAGAGAUCAAGGAAGAUGAGGAGAAGAUUCUAAGUCCAAUGGAGAAAAAUCUUCAAGACAUUCAAGAUAAUUUAAACUUUAUUGAGGAGGAACUCUCAAAUCUGCAGUGGCGAAUGGAACAAACAGACAUCGUGUUAUUUCUGAAGGUGGAAGCUGUUCGCAAGAGGAGAAUUAGUGAUGAAUCCCACAUAU